GCGCAGCAGGCGAGAAUUUUUCACAAUGGGGGAAACCCUGAUGGAGCGACGCCGCGUGGAGGAUGAAGGCCUUUUGGUCGUAAACUCCUGUCAUGCGAGAACAAGAAAGUGAUAGUAUCGCAAGAGGAAGAGGCGGCUAACUCUGUGCCAGCAGCCGCGGUAAUACAGAGGCCUCAAGCGUUGUUCGGAUUCAUUGGGCGUAAAGGGUGCGUAGGUGGCUUGUUAAGUUGAAGGUGAAAUCUCGGGGCUCAACUCCGAAACUGCCUUCAAUACUGGCGAGCUCGAGGAUUGUAGAGGAGAAUGGAAUUCACGGUGUAGCAGUGAAAUGCGUAGAUAUCGUGAGGAAGACCAGUGGCGAAGGCGAUUCUCUGGGCAAUUCCUGACACUGAGGCACGAAGGCCAGGGGAGCAAACGGGAUUAGAUACCCGUGUAGU
rnacentral:rRNA from 1 species